GCCGCGGGGGUGCUGCCGAGCCGCGGGGACGGGCCUGGGACUGGGCGUCCGCCUCCGCCGCGGCUGCCCGGCUCGCUGUGAGGAGCGGGCCUGCCAUCGCGCUCGUGCGCUCCCUUUCCUCUCGCUUCCCUUCCUCCCUAGUUUCAUUUAUUCUUUUUUAAGGUCACUGGAGCUGUUACUGCUUGUCAUCCAAGAACUUAAAGCAGUCGGAUGCUGAGGGCAGUUUGCCUGCUGGAGAGCCAGGGAAUUUGAGGCAAGUCUCCAGAGCUCCAGAAGAGACUUCUUCCUCAUCUGCACAGCAGAGUUACUCUGAAUGCAGUGGAUUUCAGUUUUAAACCAUUAAAUACUUCUCUUGGGACGUGCUUACUCCAGAAGAGAGGAUUAAAGCAAGAAAACAAGUGUCCAAACUGGAGUCUCAAGCUACAGCUUUCUUAUUUCUAAAUGUCUUGUGCCAUAGCAGUUUUAUUUCUAGUUAAAUAAACACUAAAAUCCUUUAGAAAUG